rnacentral:rRNA from 1 species
GGUCAAGUAAUGAAGUGCACAUGGUGGAUGCCUUGGCAGUCAGAGGCGAUGAAAGACGUGAUAGCCUGCGAUAAGCGUCGGUGAGGUGGCAAUAUCCUGUGACCCGGCGAUUUCUGAAUGGGGAAACCCAGCCAACAUAAGUUGGCUAUCCUAACCUUUGGUUAGGAGGCAAACCGGGAGAAGUGAAACAUCUCAGUACCCCGAGGAAAAGACAUCAAUAGAGAUUCCCCAAGUAGCGGCGAGCGAACGGGGAGUAGCCGAUCAAACUUGUAGUAGCAAAAUGGCGUGGGAAAGCCAACCAUAGUAGGUGAUAGUCCUGUAUGCGAAACUGCAAAUGCGACACAUUAAGUAGGGCGAGACACGUGAAAUCUUGUCUGAAGAUGGGGGGACCAUCCUCCAAGGCUAAAUACUCCUGACUGACCGAUAGUGAACCAGUACCGUGAGGGAAAGGCGAAAAGAACCCCUGUUAGGGGAGUGAAAUAGAACCUGAAACCGUGUGCAUACAAGCAGUCGGAGCCCACUUGUUGGGUGACGGCGUACCUUUUGUAUAAUGGGUCAGCGACUUAUAUUCUGUAGCAAGGUUAACCGUUUAGGGGAGCCGUAGGGAAACCGAGUCUUAAUAGGGCGUCUUAGUUGCAGGGUAUAGACCCGAAACCGAGUGAUCUAUCCAUGAGCAGGUUGAAAGUGCCGUAACAGGCACCGGAGGACCGAACCCACUGUCGUUGAAAAGCCAGGGGAUGACUUGUGGAUAGGGGUGAAAGGCUAAUCAAACUCGGUGAUAGCUGGUUCUCCCCGAAAGCUAUUUAGGUAGCGCCUCGGACGAAUACCAUUGGGGGUAGAGCACUGUUUCGGCUAGGGGGUCAUCCCGACUUACCAAACCGAUGCAAACUCCGAAUACCGAUGAGUACUAUCCGGGAGACAGACGGCGGGUGCUAACGUCCGUCGUCAAGAGGGAAACAACCCAGACCGCCAGCUAAGGCCCCAAAUUCCUAGUUAAGUGGGAAACGAUGUGGGAAGGCACAGACAGCUAGGAUGUUGGCUUAGAAGCAGCCAUCAUUUAAAGAAAGCGUAAUAGCUCACUAGUCGAGUCGACCUGCGCGGAAGAUGUAACGGGGCUCAAACUAGGAGCCGAAGCUGCGGAUUUAAUUGUUUCAAUUAAGUGGUAGGGGAGCGUUGUGUAAGCCUGUGAAGGUGUAUCGUAAGGUAUGCUGGAGGUAUCACAAGAGCGAAUGCUGACGUGAGUAACGACAAAACGGGUGAAAAGCCCGUUCGCCGAAAGACCAAGGGUUCCAGUCCAACGUUAAUCGGGGCUGGGUGAGUCGACCCCUAAGGCGAGGCCGAAAGGCGUAGUCGAUGGGAAAUUGGUUAAUAUUCCAAUACUUGUUUAUGAUGCGAUGGAGGGACGGAGAAGGUUAUGUCAGCCUGGCGUUGGUUGUCCAGGUGAAAGGAUGUAGGUAGGCUUGGUAGGCAAAUCCGCCAAGCUAUUACUGAGAUCUGAUAGCAAGCC